CUCAAUUCAUAUUUCAUGUUCAUUUGAAAAAGGGCGAAUAAAUUCUGAGUUUGUGUUUAGCCCAGGCCAAAAGUUCCAGACGUUGAAAUAUGAAAUUUGGGAGAGUCGAUGUGGUUAUUUGAACCUAUAAGGCACAAGGUUCCAAACCGUCAUUUUGAAAAGACGUAAAAACCACAGGUGCAAGUUUAAGAAUGUGCGCAAUUAUUAUAACAGGAACAUACAACAGAUAGAUUUUUUUUUUUUUCUGCAAUGAAGGUGCAGCCCCUGUAAAAUCUAUAAAAAUACAUUAUGUUCUGGAAGCCUCUGAAGGAAGAGGACGACGCCUCUUAAGCUUAGCCAUGAGCCUCUCAUGGUCUCCCAAAAUUCUUUCAUUGGAGACCUGCAGCAUAUCUAGCCUUCUCAGUGUAUCAACAGAGUACGAACUCACCAGUUUCAACAAGGCAUUAUUCUCUCCUUUAAGUUUCUCAACCUCCUGUUGAGACUCAUGAAGCAUUCUUUGGAGAGACGAAUUUUCAGUUGUUAAAAUCUGAACCUCGUUUGCUCUAGCACGCAAACGAUCAGCCAUGUUAGAAACAGAAGCAGCACUCUGAAUACUAAAAGCCAUUGAGUCAUCAAUAGCCUCUUCCUCUGAUCUCCCUGUUAACAGCAUUUCAUCCAUUGGAGUAAUGAAAUUCCUAGCUACUAUGACAGCAGUAGCAUCAUUCAUCAUCACAGAAUCAUUAACUGUGAGAUGACGAUUUUUGGAUACAAAGGAUGGAGGCCAAACUUGGGCGUCACUGGUUGUUGUGGGAGUAUCAUUUAAAUUGAAAUAAUCUGGGCAGGAAGAAGAGGAAGCCAUUUUUAAGAAAGUUUUCGAAGAAAGUCUUGAGAAAACUAAAGUUUCAGAAAAUGAAGGAAGUUAAAUUGCAACGCAGUUGCUCCAAUCAAGAUUUGCAAAUGCAAUAUCUAUAGGAGGAAAUAUGACUACAGUUUUUUUCAGGAUCCCAAUAUCUUUUCGGAUCCCCAUAUUCUCUUUUUCUUUCCCAGAUUCCAAAACUUCACGUGGCCUUCAUUAAUGAUUGUCGGCACUUUCGGCGUUUUCAAAGUAUUAUUUUCGUCAAAAGCCGAUAUUGCUUUACGGAUUUCACGGAGCUACUUUUUCAAAAGUAUCCCGAGAAUCUCGCAAUUUUCCUAUGGUUAAUUUGAAAUUCACCGGUUCUACCUAUUCAUUGUAUUUGUGUAUAAAUGUGUUACUAACGAAAUUUUCUUUGCAGAAGACAUCCAGUUUUCUCCAUACCUAGGGAUGCGAUAUCUACUUGUUUUUCUUAUCAGUGAGCACUUAAUAUGCCCGAGAAGCAAGACUAUCUCUGAUCAUCCAUUCAGGAAGCAAGACUAUCCCUGAUCACGUUUCCGCUACAUCAGGGAACUGUGAAGGCAACCUUAUGCUCUAAUCUCCGGAAGUUCUUCUAGACUAGAAGAAAUGAGAGCUGGUUGUUUGCUCCCACCAGCUUCCUUCCUUGAUUGCUGAGCUUGUUGUCUGCUCCCACCAGCUUCCUUCCCUGAUUGCUUACCUUCUCUUGCAAUCCAUAUCACAAUUUUUUGCAUUUUUUUUCUCUUUUUGUAACUCUGUGGGUUAUUUGUUUUUGACAGAGAAAAGAGUUGUGAUUUUGCUCUUGCAGGAUAUAACUAGAUCAUCAAGCGCUACAUUAUAUUUACUGGGCCGAUACGACCUUGAAUGAUACUUGAGAAAAGUUUCUCCCACCUAAGGAUGUAAGCAGUAUUUGUGUUAUUAUAUGCUUAUAUACUUAUUUGAUAUUUUAUCUUGAAAGGUAACCAAAUAGGGAGAUAAGUCUGUUCCAAAAGAAUGGCUUGUAUGUAUCCAUGAAUUAUUAAUGCAAAUUUUACAGAUUGUAAGUUGGAUACAUUGAUAAUACACUGCACAGAUUAAAGUCCCAUAAGAACAGAAUAUGGGUAUAGCAGUGAUCAAUAUGAUGCACGCCUGUUGCGUAGCGAAUGAUGUGGAUUGAAGUCCCAAAAGGACAAUCCUUUAACAUGUCAAUAUUGAUAUUGUACACGCCUAAUGCGUAGCAAAUUAUAUGGGUUAAAAUCCCAUAAUAUGGGUUAAAGUCCCAUAAAUUAAUUGACAUGUAUGUAUUAAUCUGUAGCAUGCCUGCAGCAUGACAGAUAUAUGGGUUCUACAUGUUUCAACUUCCUAAAUGGAGAUUAUCCACGCCCUACUGCUAAAUAACGCUCCAAUGGAUGUUAUAAUCCACAUUCUCACAUAAUAAAAGCCCCAUGAAGUGGCUUGAGUACCCAAAGGCAAAUAAAUGCUUAUAAUUGAUGCAUGCGCAUGCAAAUGAGAAUGGUGGGAUCAUGAAUUGAUGAAUGACAAUUUUUGAUCAUGAAUUGAUGAAUGACAAUUUUUGAUUUUGGAGUAGCUACUCAAAUCAUCAAUGGGUUGUGUUGAUUGGAACCACGUUCAAUUAUUAAAUGUCGACAAUAUCAUUGGCCAAAAUGGAACGAGGUAAUUCCAUUAUAAAUGAGAAUGAACGUGAAAGAACAAACCCACAAUACGAACCCCAAAAUUUGUUAAUACUGAAUUUAUACUUGGGUGUUUGGAAUAAAAGGGAAUAUACCUACUUUGUACGACACACUGUUUCUGGCAGAAAUAAGGAAUGUUGGGUUUUCUCCAUAUUUACAGAUUCAAUUGUGCCCCCCCUCCCCCCCUUAUUACACAAUUACGGAGACCAACAUAUUAUCUUUAAGGGUUAUUAAAUACACGGAGCAUAUCGCCAGAAGCGAUUUCCUAAAGAUGUAUAAAUAGCUGGGUUAAAGCUAUAUAAUGUGUCAUAAAGUUUAAUCCCUUUUAGACAAAAUCCGUUGAGAGGAUUGAUAUUGCAUAAAGCAAGUCCCUAAAGGACAUGUGCUUGAAGCACAAAGUUUGUACUCAAUAUUAAUAUGCAUAAAUUACCUCAGUGAGUACAUUGAUUAUAAUGUGAUUGCAACACAUUAAAGCUUCUGCAGAAUUCAUGAAAUAUUUGUCUCGAUCGAGCAUUAUACCAACGAGAUUCUUGCUUAUACUAAGAGAGUCUUAUCCGUUGGUCCUUAAAUGUUUUUCCAGAAGUAUAUUAGACCAGAUAGAGCUCAGCUCCACACUGUACUCUUUUUCCUUCAUCCAGGUUUUUAUCCCAUUGGAUUUUUCCUGGUAAGGUUUUAACGAGGCAGUGUCGCUCAAGGGUUUAGGGUAUACUAUGAAAAUUUUUAUGGUCGCUUACUGGACAAAAGCUAGUCCUAAAUUUUUCAGGGGGAGAUAUUCACAAAGGGGGAGCAUGGUUUUAAUAAAGACCUCCAUACACUGUACUCUUUUUCCUUCAUCCAGGUUUUUAUCCCACUGGGUUUUUCCUGGUAAGGUUUUAACGAGGCAGUGUCGCUCAAAAUUGACUCACAGAAGCAGUGUCAACUACGAUAGUCAAAAAGGUGAUCAACAACAUGACUUAAAGAUAUUUUGCCAAGCAUCAGGGGGAGCGUGCUAUCAAUACAGAUAUUCAAAACACUGUACUCUUUUUCCUUCGUCCAGGUUUUUAUCCCACUGGGUUUUUCCUGGCAAGAUUUUAACGAGGCAGUGUUGCACCCGUGUCAAUCUACACAGAAUUUUAUGUUCCACAUGGUUAUGUACUCUUUUUCCCUUCGACCAGUUUUUUUUUGUCCCACUGGGUUUUUACUGGCCAGGUUUUUAACGAGGCAUAUUCCGUAUCAUUUGUGGUCUCCAAGGGGGAGUGUUAUAAAUAAUAUGGUGGAGCCCACAUGUUGGAAGAUUUUUCCUACAAAAGGGUUCACCCCUCUUGUAAUUAUGAGAUAGAAAGAAUGAAUUCAGAUUGCAGAAGUUUCUCUCUCUCUCCUCAACUCUCUUUCUCUCCAUCAAUUCUUUGAUUUUAUAACAUGUCCGUCCUUCCUAUUUUACAAUAGGUACAAAAUUCGGAGGACUAAAUUUUGGAAUCUUAAGUCUGCUUCUCUCUCUGGCUAGGGAAAACAAAAGAACUCCAUAUUUAUUCUCUAAUUACUAUUUUAAAUUUUGUUAUUUAAUUUGAUUUUUUUAUUUAAGUUUUAUUUAAUUCUUUAUCAUCACCGUCAUUAUUAUAUGCCUUGUAGUAACAAUGUUGUAUAUUAAUAUGACCUUCAUCUUUCUGGAAAUCUCAGAUACAUGUUGUUGAUGGCUCAUCACAAGAGCCAGAAUUUGAGUUCGAUGCAGUCCAUUUGAGUUGGAACUGUUUAGUCCUGAAAUUGCUGAAAAGCCUUAUGUCGCUGCUUUCAAUAAAAUGGAACCUGACAUUUUACCGAUGGUUGGAGAUGGUGGUGGAGAUGGAGGUGGUGGAUUUGUCCCCCAUCUCGGAACGCGACCUCUCGUCCUAGCACGUGGAGGAGGCAUGAUUCUAUACGAAGGAAACAAUAGAACCUUUGAUACCAAGCUGAUAGGACCUGCUUCGAAUUCCCUUGAAAUCCGGGACGAAUUCCUUAGUAUUUCCGACAUCUUACUGAUGCCAGACCCACUUAAUUACUCACUCAUCAGUUAAACAAUGGUCUUUAUUAUACUGCUACUUAGGUACAAUCUUGUUUGAUUGUCCAUGAUAAUAAAACUUUGUGAUAAAUAAAAAAAUCAAAUAGAAACUAGAAUCUUUAUAUUUAUAUGAAUUCAUCACGUUUGCUAAUUGUAUAUUAAUAAACGAUUGUAGACUGGACUCCAACAGAUACACUACGUUAAUUAGCUAAAGUAGAACGCCAAAAGCCUUCCUUGACGUUGUGAGCUUGUGAAAAGCCAAUCUUCAGGGAAACAGCAGUUAUAUUAUGGAGGACGGACACUGAAGCAAGUAGUAUGAACGUGUAAGGUUCACAUUUCAACAUUUUAAAUAAGUUAGGUCCCGAAACGCUAAAAGAGGUACCGAGUUUGAAUCUCCUCUAUCCCAUAAAUAAAAAAAUAAAAAAAUGAGUUUGAUGCUGAAGAAUGUAAGUCAUCUUCAGCUAAAAAAUCUUUUUUUUGUUUGUUUUGUUUUUAUGUUCAAGGACUGAUGAAAAAAGUCAUUUUCCAGCUCUCGCAAAGUUAUUACUCAUACAGUACCAGGAGUUCAAAUAAUGGUUUUAGUACAGAUUUAAUUCACAUUUAAUUUACAGCAAAAACAGAUGUAAGUGGUGAAACUGACGUGUGCACAGCUUAAAUUGUCAAGGGAGUUUAGUGUACAUUGCGACUGAUUAAGCCUUCGAAUAUAGCAUAUAGAUCCUUGUUAUCUGGGCCAAAAAUCUCAUCAGCCUUCUGCAGAGUCUCCUGAAAUUUUGCAAGUUUACAGAUAACAUGUAAAUAGCAAACCAAAUCAUCGACACCGAGGGAGAGAGGGAGGGAGGAGGGAAGGGAACACAUACCUCCUUUGUUUGCUUGUGGCCAUUUAGCUCCUUAACAUUAGCAAGAAAUGCACCAAACUGCUCGUAAGACAAACGACUCCUGAGGGUAACAAAGAGAAAAAGAAAAGAAAAAAAUCGGACAGUGGGAAUUUUAGUCCUUAAGAUUUGCUAGAACUCACCAAAUUUCUCAUAAGACAAAUGAUUUCUGAUGCCAACAAGAGGGAAAACAAAAUAACCAGACAACAAACUUUCUUAUUCAACUAGCCGGGAAAUUAAUUUUUAACUUGGAUGCAGGCAAUAAUCGGAUUUUCUAUAUAUGGUUCUUUCCAUCAGACCCAGAUUCCAAACUCAAUAAGUGUCUUUACCUGACUUGGCGGAAAAAUUCUUUCCCAUCCACCCGAGUUCUUCCUAAAACAAUUCAAGAGAGAAUUAAGAACAUUAGAAGAAUACACAUCGAACAACAGAAGAGCAGUUCUCAAUAACGGCGGUUUCUACUUUCUAAGUGAAAUGUGACUAAACAUUUUCUACAAAGGGUUUCUCGAGCUAACCAUAUUCAGUGCUGUGAUGGCUUGAAGGCAUAGAAGAUCUGUCAUCAAACAUGCCUCUUGAGGUGGCGAAUGACAUGGAGUGCCGCUUAGGGGACACAGGUUUUGAUGUUCUUGUUGGGGAUGUGGAUGCAGAAUAGACUGGAGGAGAACCAGGAGGAGUGAACCGAGGUGUGCUAGUUUGGGAUGCUAACAGGAGGCCCGGUGAUAUGCGAGGUCUUUCAGCUGCCAUUGCAAUGAUAAGAAGCAACAAAUACAACAAUGUUAAAAAUUGGCAUGCCAAGUUGGAGGUUUAAUAAUGCAUUCUCUAGCUUAACAAUUCACACUUAUGACUAUAGAAGCUUCCUCACUAUAUGGCAUACAUGGAAGCAUUUUCUAUGACUAAGAUUUGUAUUCGAAUCAUACCUUCUGUGUCACGAUCCUCCGAAAAUAUGCUUCCUGUUUCAGAGUAAUGGCUACGGAUUGAAGAUGCCCUCGAAGGUGGCAAUGUGGCAAAUGUGGCAUCACCUUCUGAAACUACUAUCACGUUAUGAUUUUAUUUUGCAUUGGCUUUUAAGUGAGAAACCAAAACAUAGAGCAUAAGCAGUUGGCCGAAAAGAAAAAUCAAAACCAUAUGCUAAAGGCUAAGAUAGUAAGAUGAGGUCACAUUCAACAAGUAACAAACAAAAAAAUUCUACUGCGCACGCUACUUAUAAUGAGAAAUGUUCAGCCUAUUAGCCGUCUUGAUUUAUAGUCUAACAAUAUAACAUGUCACGACGCGGUAGUACAAAAAUUAAUUAAUCUACUUAUGAAAAUUGAAAAUUAUAAAAUAAAAUUUUCUUAGCAAACCUCCAACUUGAGCUUGUGGUUUAGAAGAUAAGUUCUCUUGGGUUUGUGUCUUAGGCUUUGCAACAGCCUCCGAAGCUCCGGUCUGUUCCAAUGUGGGCCACAAAUUCAAUCCAAGUUAUCAAAUUAAUUAACAACAAAAGUGUAAUCCAAGUCUCAGAGAAUCAGCCUCGCAAAACAAAAUUACUCACAGAAUUUUCGUCCUCUUCUUCAAGUGAUCGCAUAAGCGUCUUUCUGAACACCUCCAACUGCGCACAUUAGCAACCAAACUAAGCUUAGCCAAAACGACACCGUUUCAGCUUCCCCAACGUGAAUUUCAUAUUUCAGUUACCUUUGAGACAUCUCUGUUCAGCUUCCUCACAGUGUUGGAGAGCAACGCCUUCUCUUUCACCAAGCCCUCCUGCAAUUCCAGAACCAAGUCAAUCAGUCAACGAAUUGAUUAAAAUUGAACCGGGUUGACAUUCAUGGGCCGGGUCGGACCUUCUCCCGCUCGGCGAGGGCGAGUUUAUCGGCGGUCUCGGAGAGCGAGGCGUCGAGGGACUCAACCUGCGCCUGGAGCUCGGCGAUGAGCUGGUCCUUCUCAGCGAGCUUGGCGCGCAGAGCGUACGACUCUGAUUCCAGGGCAGAGACACGUGUCGAGAGCGCAACGGACGUGAUUUUGCGGGCCACAUCGAGUUGCUCGAAAGGAUCCGACGGCAGUACUUGCAACACUUCCUCGGGAAGAUCGAAGUUCGAACCACCCGAUUCCUUCGCAAGCAUUUCUCACCUUUCUCUCUCUUGGUUUUCCUGUUUUUUUUUUUUUUUUCCCCUUUUUUUGUAUUUAAUUUUUUUCAACUUUUUUGUUUUUUAUUCAGAGAGGUUGUUAUACUCUACGGCAUAUAACCAAAAUACAAUUUUUUUUUUCUUUUUUUUCGUUGGUAUAUUUUCUGAUUGGAAGGAAACAUGUGGCUUGUGAUUGGAUAGGAUUUUGAGAAAAAAAGACAAACAACAGCAAAAUCUGGACAUGACCUAGUGGUUUUGGGCCUAAUGGUACGAACCCAUUUUUGAAACAAGUAAUGGGCUUUGUGAGGCAAAGUAAGCUUUGUCAUUUUAUGUGGUGGUGGUGGUGGUGAUGGAAGGUAAAGGGACAGUGACGGACCUAUUAAGGAGUAAGAAGGUGUAGUUACACUUCUUUUCACAAGAAAAAUUAUUAUAGGUGCUUCAAAUUGCCCAUUUGCUCAACUAGUGUACAGAUUACCUUAUUUCUAUUUUCAAUUUUCUUUGUCCUUUUACUUUCAUUUAUUUUUAUAUACUCAAUUUACUUAAGUUUAAAAUAUAAAUAAAGAAGUACUCCCCAUUUGGAUUCAAAUAAAAAUACUAGAAAAUCAAAUUCCUACUAAAUCAAAAUUUGAAAAAUCGGUUUUAGUGCAAAAUACGAUUUAGGCUAAAAAUGAUGGCUCAUUAAGUCAAUAUAUAUUUCAUACUAAAAUUCCAUAAAAUCAAGUUUUCUUAUUUGAUGUAUAAGGAAUAAAAGUUGCCAAAAAUUAUCUUGAGAAAAUGAUUAUUCCGAAAAACUAUUUUUCAUACUUAGUCGAUAAUGUUACAUAACACAAUUUUUCAUUAUGAUAUGAAUGCAUAAAGGGACAUAAGGUCAAUCUAGGUAAAAAAAACUUUAGAUGUUCAAUCUAUAAAGAGUUUUUAGCCUUUCCAAAUUGCACAUUCACUAAAAAAUUCCUAGGUCCGUCAGAAAACAGGUGGAUGUAACUUGUGAUUGAUUACAGGCCAACUAAAUUCAGAUGACUCUGGUCGUCUGGUACUAUAAAAAUUAGAUAAUGAAGAUAGUGAAAUUUGGCCAUACUUUUUCGGCUUCAUCAUAUUUGGUCCAUUGCCUUGUAUAAAGGGGUUGGUGACAUUUAGAGGUCGGUGCCAAAAACUAUAUGUGAAAUUCAACAAUAUGCCCUAAUAGAUACAACACACGUAACAAGAAUAUCCAUGGAAGUGUCGAAAUAGAUACAACACGCAUUUUAACUAUAUAAGGAAAAUUUUAGAUGAUUGAGACCAGGUAAGAUCGAGACUAAGUACAAUUCCACCCUUAAGAAAAGGGUUUGUUAUAUCUGUUGUAAUAGUGGAGUCCCCAAAAUGCCUAUAAAUACUCCCCCCCUUCAUACUUGUAAAUAUACAUUCAGAACCUAAAUGAGAAAAUCAGUCUCUCCUCUCUAUUCCAAUUCUCUCCAUUUUCUCUCUACAUUUAUAACACGUUAUCAGCACGAGAAGCUCUCAGGUAUAAUUUUUGUGUUGCACUAUUAUCUAUACUACUAACCCUUAUGUUGAUGUAAGGAAGAAAAGUAGUGGAGGAGCUGUGGUCUGCAAGAGAGAUAUACGAGCAAACCAACUGUGUGCAGAUUACAGGUGGAAAGCAUUUGAUUUAAGAGACAAGCAUGAUGCCUUCCACAAACGAUAAUAAUAUUAUCUGCUAUACUAUUUGAUCGUGGUGUUGAUGAGAACCCACCAAUAAUUGCUUUUACUUUACCGUAAAUUUACUUUUACUUAAAGUAAUAUAAUAUAUUAUAUUUACUGUAUGGUGUAGGUUUAUUACCCAUACAACAGUAUUUAUUUAAAAGGGUGAUGCGGGUUUAUCGUCCACGCCUUUACUUUUAUUUAAAUGUAUGGAGCAGAAUUAGUGCCCAUACAAGCACAUUUACUUUCCCGCACAUUUAAUUCUAUUUAAGGUAUGAUGCGGGAUUAACGUCCAUACAGCAAGCAAUUUAAUUUAUGAAUUUACUUUACCGCACAUUUAAUUUUAUUUAAGGUAUGGUGCGGAAUUAACGUCCAUACAGCAAGCAAUAAUUUAUGAAUUUACUUUACCGCACAUUUACAUUUAUUUAAAGUAUAGUGCGGGUUUAUCGUCCAUACUAGUAAUUUAUUUACCAGUAAUUUAUUUUAUGGAUUAAUUGUGCUGUAUGAUGAGUUUUUACAGUAUGCAGAUCAGGACCAGAAGUUCCUUGAUCCUCAUCACACAAUUACAUCAGGACUUGAAGAUCCUUGAUGAUGAUGUUAAUAUGAGAGCUGGCAGUCUCUCCGGUACUAUAUUUGUAAAUAUGUGAUUGGACUUGAGGGUCCUUGAUCCUUGACAUGUAAAUAAGGACCUGGGGUUCCUUAAUGAUGUAACAGUACCAUAUUGGUUCAUAAUGCCGUACACAUGGAUGAUAACUGUACUGGCAAAUGUACUGUACACAUGAAUAGUGCCGUAUACAUAAAUAGUGAUGUAUGCAUAAAUAUUUACCAUUUUGGGUAAACUAUCACUAUUCAAAAGGGAACCUGCAGUUCCUUAAACUCAUGGAUGAGCAAUUAAAUGAGAUGCCAGAAGUUCUUCAAAAUAUGGACAAUUAUGUAAGGGCUUGAAGUCCAGAAAUAUGUACAGAAAAUUGUAAAAAUGUCCAUACCAUGAGAAUAUGUGAUUUUGGCCCGAAGUUCAAAAUCUAAGGGGAUUGAAUGUCCAUACCAUGAGAAUAUGUGAUUUUGGCCUGAAGUUCAAAAUCUAACAGUGUUGAGAACCUGAAGUUCCAACAAAUUAAAUGGACAACUCUUGAGGUAUUAUUGCAAAUUGUGGUACGCCACAUAUUUCUUUGGCAUAAGAAAAUGAUGAAUUUAAUAAAGUUCGAUUCUGUUAUAAUCGACACCUCAAGUAAGAAAUAUAUUUUGUGAAUUCCGGUUGUUAAGAAUACACCGUGAAAUGGAUAAUAUCAAUAUAAACCUCAAAUAAUGAAUUGAGGCUCCCCACACAUUUUGAUAUAUCUGGGCCGGAAGCACAUGGAUUCAAAUAUAUGAGAAAUCCCGAAUUUGAGAUUGUGGGUAUAUAGUAGUUAAUGCUCUUCACUACUAUAUUACGAUAUUAUCGUAGCUUUUACUCAAUUCAUAUUUCAUGUCCAUUUAAAAGGGGCAAAUAAAUUCUGAGUUUGUGUUUAGCCCAGGCCAAAAGUUCCGGGCUCCCAUACGUUGAAAUAUGAAAUUUGGGAGAGUCGAUGUGGUUAUUUGAACCUAUAAGGCACAAGGUUCCAAACCGUCAUUUUGAAAAGAUGUAAAAACCACAGGUGCAAAUUUUAAGAAUGUGCGCAAUUAUUAUAACAGAAAAG
rnacentral:lncRNA from 1 species